GACGAACGCUGGCGGCGUGCCUAAUACAUGCAAGUCGAACGCAGGGGGGACGGGUGAGUAACACGUGGGUAACCUCCCAUCAGAGGGGAUAACACUUGGAAACAGGUGCUAAACCGAUACUGAUGGAUGAACCCGCGGUGGAUUAGCCAGUUGGUGAGGUAACGGCUAACCAAGGCCACGAUGCAUAGCUGCCCUGAGAGGGGGAUCAGCCACACUGGGACUGAGACACGGCCCAGACUCCUACGGGAGGCAGCAGUAGGGAAUCUUCGGCAAUGGGCGAAAGUCUGACCGAGCAAUGCCGCGUGAGUGAAGAAGGUUUUCGGAUCGUAAAACGCUGUUGUUAGGGAAGCGGUAUCUACCCAGAAAGCAACGGCUAACUACGUGCCAGCAGCCGCGGUAAUUC
rnacentral:rRNA from 1 species